rnacentral:tRNA from 1 species
AAGUAAGAAGCAAUUAAUUGCACUCAGUUUCGACCUGGAUCAUAAGGUGAUACAUUUUACCCUUACUUA